AUUGAACGCUGGCGGCAGGCUUAACACAUGCAAGUCGAGCGAGCGGCGGACGGGUGAGUAAUGUCUGGGAAACUGCCUGAUGGAGGGGGAUAACUACUGGAAACGGUAGCUAAUACCGCAUACCAUCAGAUGUGCCCAGAUGGGAUUAGCUAGUAGGUGGGGUAAUGGCUAACCUAGGCGACGAUCCCUAGCUGGUCUGAGAGGAUGACCAGCCACACUGGAACGGAGCAACGGUCAAGACUCCGACGGUAGGCAGCAGUGGGGAAUAUAGCACAAUGGGCGCAAGCCUGAUGCAGCGAUGCCGCGUGUAUGAGGAAGGCCUUCGGGUUGUAAAGCACUUUCAGCGAGGAGGCGUUACUCGAAGAAGAAGCACCGGCUAACUCCGUGCCAGCAGCCGCGGUAAUAC
rnacentral:rRNA from 1 species